rnacentral:rRNA from 1 species
UGAGGAAUAUUGGGCAAUGCCCGAAAGGGUGACCCAGCAACGCCGCGUGGAGGAUGAAGGUCGUAAGAUUGUAAACUCCUGUUAGAGGGGAAGAAUAACUAAGUUUGGAGCUUAGUAUGACUGUACCCUCAGAGAAAGCCCCGGCUAACUACGUGCCAGCAGCCGCGGUAAUACGUAGGGGGCAAGCGUUGUCCGGAUUUACUGGGUGUAAAGGGCGCGCAGGCGGAAUGGAAAGUCAGUGGUGAAAUCCUACAGCUUAACUGUAGAACUGCCUUUGAUACUUUCAUUCUUGAGUUCGGGAGAGAGAGACGGAAUUCCAGGUGUAGCAGUGAAAUGCGUAGAGAUCUGGAGGAACACCGAUGGCGAAGGCAGCCCCCUGGGCUAACACUGACGCUCAUGCACGAAAGCGUGGGGAGCAAACAGGAUUAGAUACCCCAGUAGUCCCUGAGCGGGCUGGCAAGGCGCAU